UCUACGGGAGGCAGCAGUGGGGAAUAUUGGACAAUGGGCGAAAGCCUGAUCCAGCCAUGCCGCGUGUGUGAAGAAGGCCUUCGGGUUGUAAAGCACUUUCAGUGGGGAAGAAAGCCUUGGGGCUAAUACCCUCGAGGAAGGACAUCACCCACAGAAGAAGCACCGGCUAACUCCGUGCCAGCAGCCGCGGUAAUACGGAGGGUGCGAGCGUUAAUCGGAAUUACUGGGCGUAAAGCGCGCGUAGGCGGUCUGAUAAGCCGGUUGUGAAAGCCCCGGGCUCAACCUGGGAACGGCAUCCGGAACUGUCAGGCUAGAGUGCAGGAGAGGAAGGUAGAAUUCCCGGUGUAGCGGUGAAAUGCGUAGAGAUCGGGAGGAAUACCAGUGGCGAAGGCGGCCUUCUGGACUGACACUGACGCUGAGGUGCGAAAGCGUGGGUAGCAAACAGGAUUAGAUACCCGGGUAGUC
rnacentral:rRNA from 1 species